CUCCCCACCUGCAGGGGAGUCGCUUCACGGGCGGUGAAGCAGGUCUGCAGGUGUCUAUCUUUCUCUCCCCCUCUCUGUCUUCCCCUCCUCUCUCCAUUUCUCUCUGUCCUAUCCAACAACAAAGCAACGUCAACAAUGGCAAUAAUAACCGCAACGAGGCUGCAACAACUAGGGCAACAAAAAGGGGAAAAAUGGCCUCCAGGAGCGGUGGAUUCAUGGUGCAGGCACCGAGCCCAGCAAUAACCCUGGAGGAACAAAAAAAAAAAAAAAGAAAUGGAGAGAGAUGGGGAAGACAGACACCUGCUUCACUGCCUGUGAAGUGACUCCCCUGCAGAUGGGGAGCUGGAGGCUCAAACUGAGUUCUGUACGCCGAUCCUUGCGCUUUGUGCCACCUGCGCUUAACCCACUGCACUACCACCCGACUCCCUAAAUAAAUAUUUAAUAAGAAUAAUAAACUUCUCUAAAUAAUCUCGGAGAUGAAAAUAAUAGUAAUAUCAUUGAGACUGUGAGGUGUGCACACGUGACUGUGAUCUAAGAAGCAUCUCUUCACAAGGACAAGGUCAGGGUUUGGGAGAUGUCCUCCAAAAGUGAGAAUGGCCUGGAGACAGUGCCGUGGGCAAAGCACUGGACUUGCAAUCUGAGACGCUAGGUGUUUCCUGCCACUGAGCUGCAGUGCUCUGGGCUUUUUUCUCAAAAAAUUUAUUCAGUUUUUGUUUAGAAGAAGCAUCAGAUUGUCUAGUUAAGACAAUUGGCAAGUUUUGGCAAUCUAUAAAUCUUUGGAAGUGUUGAAUAAGCUUACGAUGAGGAAGUGGAGAAAGAAAAGGUUCUUGAGUCAUGAGUUCAAACCGAAGCAGGGUCAGUAUUUAGAAGGGAGAAGCGAGCCUAAGGAGGGGUGUGUUUAUGUAAGAUCAAGCCACCAGUAAAAAUAGGAGCAAGAGGCACGCAUGGCUUAGAGGCCACAGAAUAUCUGACCCACGGUCGGUGAGACCAGUUCCUGAAUGUGUAUCUGUGACUUGUCUGCAGUCUCUUCUGGGCAAACCUCCCUGCACCUCAGCACACCCCAGGCGACACCCUCUGGGGGAAACCUGACUGACUGUUCUUCAGAAUUUGCUUUCGGUGCCCCCAAAUUUCCAAAGGAACACAGGGAGACUACGACUGGGUCACUUCCAGAGGUCCCAAGUUGAGGCUCAGAGACUCCAUUUUCUUUUGAGCCACUCUCCCCGCUUGUAAGGGAGGUGUCAGAAACAGGACCUCUGCGUUUGUCUUAAGAGCAGUGCCAUUAUUGGAGUGUGGGAGAUACAUAAUGGUUACGCAAACUGAUUCUCGGGCCUGAGACUCCCAGGUGCCAGGUUCAAUCAGCCAAAGCUGAGCAGUGCUCUGGGUUUAAAAAAACAGUGCCACCUAGUGGCAGGUGUGUCACACAUCUGUUAGUGUCCUGGGACUUGACAGUGGAUGGGGCUUCAGUUUUAGAUGGUAAAAUUUUUCCCCUAUAGGUGGGGACUGGGGGCUUGAACCUUGGGUCCUUACACAUUGUAAUAUGUGUGUUCAACCAGGUACGCCACCACCCAGCCCCAGAGUAGGUCAUUAGAUUAUGUCCCAGGAUGCUUCACUGCUUGUGAAGUGACUCCCCUGCAAGUGCAGAGCUGGAGGCUCCAAAAUGCUUUCUACCAAAAUAAAAACUUAUUUCUCAAAGUACAUAAGGUCCCAAAACUCUCUAAUCACAAAAAAAAGUAUAGGAGUUAUAUACAAAAGGAUUGUUUGUCAUUAUCUGUAAUUAAUCCAUGCUAAGAAUUCUUGCAAGCAUGCCUUCUAAAAUCCUUCAGUUUUGGUUGUACUGCAUCAAUACACUGGAUUAAAAUUUUUAUUUGCGGGGGGGGGGGGCAGAGGACCACUCCAUUUUAUAUUCUGUUUGUGUGUAUCUCUGUCUUUAUGCUGUGCUGGGGAUAGAACUCAGAACCACAGGAAUGAGAGAUACGCUCCACCACUCAACCACCUCCCUAGGUGCCCGAAUUUGCCCUUCUUAACUGAUAAAAA